GGAGAGUUUGAUCCUGGCUCAGGAUGAACGCUAGCGGCAGGCUUAACACAUGCAAGUCGAGGGGCAGCAUAAUGGAUAGCAAUAUCUAUGGUGGCGACCGGCGCACGGGUGCGUAACGCGUAUGCAACCUACCUUUAACAGGGGGAUAACACUGAGAAAUUGGUACUAAUACCCCAUAAUAUCAUAGAAGGCAUCUUUUAUGGUUGAAAAUUCCGAUGGUUAGAGAUGGGCAUGCGUUGUAUUAGCUAGUUGGUGGGGUAACGGCUCACCAAGGCGACGAUACAUAGGGGGACUGAGAGGUUAACCCCCCACACUGGUACUGAGACACGGACCAGACUCCUACGGGAGGCAGCAGUGAGGAAUAUUGGUCAAUGGACGCAAGUCUGAACCAGCCAUGCCGCGUGCAGGAUGACGGCUCUAUGAGUUGUAAACUGCUUUUGUACGAGGGUAAACGCAGAUACGUGUAUCUGUCUGAAAGUAUCGUACGAAUAAGGAUCGGCUAACUCCGUGCCAGCAGCCGCGGUAAUACGGAGGAUUCAAGCGUUAUCCGGAUUUAUUGGGUUUAAAGGGUGCGUAGGCGGUUUGAUAAGUUAGAGGUGAAAUUUCGGGGCUCAACCCUGAACGUGCCUCUAAUACUGUUGAGCUAGAGAGUAGUUGCGGUAGGCGGAAUGUAUGGUGUAGCGGUGAAAUGCUUAGAGAUCAUACAGAACACCGAUUGCGAAGGCAGCUUACCAAACUAUAUCUGACGUUGAGGCACGAAAGCGUGGGGAGCAAACAGGAUUAGAUACCCUGGUAGUCCACGCAGUAAACGAUGAUAACUCGUUGUCGGCGAUACACAGUCGGUGACUAAGCGAAAGCGAUAAGUUAUCCACCUGGGGAGUACGUUCGCAAGAAUGAAACUCAAAGGAAUUGACGGGGGCCCGCACAAGCGGAGGAACAUGUGGUUUAAUUCGAUGAUACGCGAGGAACCUUACCCGGGCUUGAAAGUUAGCGACGAUUCUUGAAACAGGAUUUCCCUUCGGGGCGCGAAACUAGGUGCUGCAUGGUUGUCGUCAGCUCGUGCCGUGAGGUGUCGGGUUAAGUCCCAUAACGAGCGCAACCCCUACCGUUAGUUGCCAUCAGGUGAAGCUGGGCACUCUGGCGGGACUGCCGGUGUAAGCCGAGAGGAAGGUGGGGAUGACGUCAAAUCAGCACGGCCCUUACGUCCGGGGCUACACA
rnacentral:rRNA from 1 species